rnacentral:lncRNA from 1 species
ACUCUCACUCUACCAAAAUUUAAUUAUUUGACUCAAAAUAUAACAAUUUAAAAUAUAUUGCGUCUUAGUCCCUCAACUUUUGAAAUAUAACAUAUAAAACAAAUAUGUUUUUAUUCUAAAAUUUUCGGGAUGUUACAACCACACUCACAGUCGAAGUGUGGGUUCCGCGCGAAUAAAAUAAUGUCGACCUCCCACGUGAGUGUAUUGUGUCAACCAAUGUGUCAAACUUUGUGAUAAUGUUGCAUGAUUGAUAAAUUAAUGAAAAUGAAAAAGACCUCGGGCGUUACAUCUUGGACACAAGACUCGUUGACAACGAAUUAUUUACUUCUAAAGAAAAUAGUAUAUACAAGCCAUCUGUUUGUUCAGCUCAGUGAAGUUAAGUAGCGUUAGUUGAACGACUAUACCAACACCAGGAAGUAGGAAUACUUUCCAGCAUAAGACUAUAAGUUGAUUGUGCAUUACCAACAUUUGUCAUUGUCCUUGAAUACUCCCAAGCAGCCCUUCCAAGUUCAAUAGAAAAUGUGGGAUAAUUCAACAGAGCUACUGGUGAACCUGUAAAUUCUGAUCCAUGGCAGUUUAUAGAAUGCUGCAUAAUGACAAAUAUCUGUGUUAUGUGCUAUGAUGCUUGGAAUUUUCAAAAAUAUCUGAUGGUCGUCGCAACAGAUCCUUUUUCUUUGUCAUUUUCACCUUCUUCAUCCUCGUCCCCAAAGUGUAGAAUCAAGAUCCAAAAGCAGAGAGACCGAAAAGCAUAGCACAAAGAGAGAGAGAGAGAGAGAGAGAGAGACUUUACAGUGGAUAUAUUUUGGGAAAGUAAUGGAAACAAGCCUUUUUUGGAGUAAACAAUAUUGAACCAGUUAUAAACAAGUCUAAUGUGAAAAAAUGAACAGUGCAGUGUCAUCCUCUCUUUGAAGGGAGUGUAGGAUAUAUAAAUUAAAAUGAAAAUCAAUUUGGGGAUAAGGAAAAAUGACAAAAUUAAGGAGGAGAUGCGCAAAGCAAGUUGAACGGUUUCAACAAAUCUCACUAAAAUGACCAGAUUACACAAAUUCUCGGUGCAUCACACAUGGGUUGUACAUAUACAUACACCCUUUGAAUACAAAGCAAAAGUCCCAUAUCAUCAAUUUUAUAACAUAAGCAUUUUUAAUUAACUAACACAAUUAACUAACCGGCGGAGGUCAAUUUGUGUAGUGGCUCUAAGUUGCGUAAUCUGUGUCGAAACCAUAGGGCUGACGCUAAGAAAUUUGAGGCCGUAGACGACUAAUAAAGCAACAUAUGAUAAACUAAUGAAUUUUUAAGAUGGCCGAUUAAACAUAAUCAUCAAUUAAACUAUGUUGUUUAUUCUCUACAAAAUUCCAAUUUCACUAAAUAAUACUAAUUGUGAAACUUUUACUUGUAAAAUUCAAAAUUUCAGAAUAACAAAUCUAAAUUCUUAAAUAAUAGAAACAUUUUACCCAAGAA